rnacentral:lncRNA from 1 species
CGCCGUCCCCACGGUGCGCGCGCCUGCCGGGGCCGCGCGGGGAGGCGCGGCGGAGGGGCCCCUGCACCUCGUAGGUCCUUUCGCCUCCCGAACAAACUCCGUCCCAGGAAAUUGCACAGAGACGUGCGGCCGAACCUGAUGCCGCCAGAUCUCCAUCCGGAAAAAACAGAUGACUGUCUACAAUGCCUGCACCAGGAGGAUAUUAUUCUACAAAUAAGGGCCCAGCGUGACAUUUAUGAGAAAGCCAGGGUCCUUCUGUGCAAAACUGAUUGGUGCUCAGCCAAUGGGCUCCAGGGCAUUGCAAAUAAAACCACCUUCUCCACCGGGCCCGUUCAGAUGCAGGAUAGUGUGUUGCUUCUGCCUGUGGAACUUUAGGAAAUGCUCAACUCCUGUCCUAGCAAAAUACAUCUGUGGCCAGCUAAGUGAAACCAGCUUUGAAGAUGAAACACCUUCUUCCUCAAUUCCCUUCCAUCUUGGCCAUCUAUUGCUUCUGCAUGCUACAGAUUCCCUCUUCAGGAUCUCCUCGACCUCUAGCUGAUCCCCCAGAUGGCUUGGAUAUCACGCAGCUUGAGCGACUGGCAUAUUGGGCCACUCUUUCUAAGCAACCUAAGGUAAAAAAAAAUAUAUACAUAUAAUAAUUCAUUUAUUUUUAUUUUUUUAAAGAUUUAUUUAUUUAUUUGAGAGAGAGAGAGGAGUAAG